rnacentral:rRNA from 1 species
UACGGAGGAUGCAAGCGUUAUCCGGAAUGAUUGGGCGUAAAGCGUCCGCAGGCGGCUAUGUAAGUCUGCUGUUAAAGAGUGAGGCUCAACCUCAUAAGAGCAGUGGAAACUACAUGGCUAGAGUGCGUUCGGGGCAGAGGGAAUUCCUGGUGUAGCGGUGAAAUGCGUAGAGAUCAGGAAGAACACCGGUGGCGAAAGCGCUCUGCUAGGCCGCAACUGACACUGAGGGACGAAAGCUAGGGAAGCGAAUGGG